rnacentral:rRNA from 1 species
AUUGAACGCUGGCGGCAUGCUUUACACAUGCAAGUCGAACGGUAACAGGCCGCAAGGUGCUGACGAGUGGCGCACGGGUGAGUAAUGCAUCGGAACGUGCCCAGUCGUGGGGGAUAACUACUCGAAAGGGUAGCUAAUACCGCAUACGAUCUAUGGAUGAAAGCGGGGGACCGUAAGGCCUCGCGCGAUUGGAGCGGCCGAUGUCAGAUUAGGUAGUUGGUGGGGUAAAGGCUCACCAAGCCAACGAUCUGUAGCUGGUCUGAGAGGACGACCAGCCACACUGGGACUGAGACACGGCCCAGACUCCUACGGGAGGCAGCAGUGGGGAAUUUUGGACAGUGGGCGCAAGCCUGAUCCAGCAAUGCCGCGUGCAGGAAGAAGGCCUUCGGGUUGUAAACUGCUUUUGUACGGAACGAAACGGCUCUGGUUAAUACCCGGGGCUAAUGACGGUACCGUAAGAAUAAGCACCGGCUAACUACGU